ACCUCUAUGGUGAAAUUGGUAGACACGCAGUGUUGAGGUCACUGUGCUUUUAAGCAUUUCGGUUCGAGUCCGGAUAGAGGUA
rnacentral:tRNA from 1 species